rnacentral:rRNA from 1 species
AAAGAAACCAACAGGGAUUGCCCUAGUAACGGCGAGUGAAGCGGCAACAGCUCAAAUUUGAAAUCUGGCCCUCGGGUCCGAGUUGUAAUUUGUAGAGGAUGCUUUUGGUGAGGUGCCUUCCGAGUUCCCUGGAACGGGACGCCAUAGAGGGUGAGAGCCCCGUCUGGUUGGACACCGAGCCUCUGUAAAGCUCCUUCGACGAGUCGAGUAGUUUGGGAAUGCUGCUCUAAAUGGGAGGUAUAUGUCUUCUAAAGCUAAAUACCGGCCAGAGACCGAUAGCGCACAAGUAGAGUGAUCGAAAGAUGAAAAGCACUUUGAAAAGAGAGUUAAAAAGUACGUGAAAUUGUUGAAAGGGAAGCGCUUAUGACCAGACUUGGGCUUGGUUGAUCAUCCUGGGUUCUCCCUGGUGCACUCUUCCAGUUCAGGCCAGCAUCAGUUCGCUGCGGGGGAUAAAAGCUUUGGGAAUGUGGCUCCCUCGGGAGUGUUAUAGCCCAUUGCAUAAUACCCUGCUCCGGACUGAGGUUCGCGCAUCUGCAAGGAUGCUGGCGUAAUGGUCAUCAGCGACCCGUCUUGAAACACGGACCAAGGAGUCGUCUUCGUAUGCGAGUGUUCGGGUGUUAAACCCCUACGCGUAAUGAAAGUGAACGCAGGUGAGAGCUUCGGCGCAUCAUCGACCGAUCCUGAUGUUCUCGGAUGGAUUUGAGUAAGAGCAUACGGGGCCGGACCCGAAAGAAGGUGAACUAUGCCUGUAUAGGGUGAAGCCAGAGGAAACUCUGGUGGAGGCUCGCAGCGGUUCUGACGUGCAAAUCGAUCGUCAAAUAUGGGCAUGGGGGCGAAAGACUAAUCGAACCUUCUAGUAGCUGGUU